AACGAACGCUGGCGGCAUGCCUAACACAUGCAAGUCGAACGAAGGCUUCGGCCUUAGUGGCGCACGGGUGCGUAACGCGUGGGAAUCUGCCCUUUGGUUCGGAAUAACAGCUGGAAACGGCUGCUAAUACCGGAUGAUGACGAAAGUCCAAAGAUUUAUCGCCAGAGGAUGAGCCCGCGUUGGAUUAGGUAGUUGGUGGGGUAAAGGCCUACCAAGCCGACGACCCAUAGCUGGUCUGAGAGGAUGAUCAGCCACACUGGGACUGAGACACGGCCCAGACUCCUACGGGAGGCAGCAGUGGGGAAUAUUGGACAAUGGGCGCAAGCCUGAUCCAGCAAUGCCGCGUGAGUGAUGAAGGCCCUAGGGUUGUAAAGCUCCUUUACCCGGGAAGAUAAUGACUGUACCGGGAGAAUAAGCCCCGGCUAACUCCGUG
rnacentral:rRNA from 1 species